rnacentral:rRNA from 1 species
AGUGAACGCUGGCGGUAGGCCUAACACAUGCAAGUCGAACGGCAGCACAGUAAGAGCUUGCUCUUACGGGUGGCGAGUGGCGGACGGGUGAGGAAUACAUCGGAAUCUACUUUUUCGUGGGGGAUAACGUAGGGAAACUUACGCUAAUACCGCAUACGACCUACGGGUGAAAGCAGGGGAUCUUCGGACCUUGCGCGAUUGAAUGAGCCGAUGUCGGAUUAGCUAGUUGGCGGGGUAAAGGCCCACCAAGGCGACGAUCCGUAGCUGGUCUGAGAGGAUGAUCAGCCACACUGGAACUGAGACACGGUCCAGACUCCUACGGGAGGCAGCAGUGGGGAAUAUUGGACAAUGGGCGCAAGCCUGAUCCAGCCAGACCGCGUGGGUGAAGAAGGCCUUCGGGUUGUAAAGCCCUUUUGUUGGGAAAGAAAAGCAGCAGGUUAAUACCCCGCUGUUCUGACGGUACCCAAAGAAUAAACACCGGCUAACUUCGU